GACCCUGUAAUGCAAUGGAUAACGCAUUGGACUUCUAAUCCAAAGGUUGUGGUUUCGAAUACCACCUGGGAUGGCCU
rnacentral:tRNA from 1 species